UACAGAGGUCUCAAGCGUUGUUCGGAUUCAUUGGGCGUAAAGGGUGCGUAGGUGGCGAGGUUAGUCAGGUGUGAAAUCUCGGGGCUCAACUCCGAAACUGCAUUCGAUACUGCCGUGCUUGAGGACUGGAGAGGAGACUGGAAUUUACGGUGUAGCGGUGAAAUGCGUAGAUAUCGUAAGGAAGACCAGUGGCGAAGGCGGGUCUCUGGACAGUUCCUGACGCUGAGGCACGAAGGUCAGGGGGAGCAAACGGG
rnacentral:rRNA from 1 species